rnacentral:lncRNA from 1 species
CAUAAUCAAACGUCGCAUUCUGCUUGACAUGCUGCUAGCCAUGCCUGGAUCAGACCGAAGUGGUUUGUUAACAAGAUUCACUAAACAACUCAAACUAAUCCAGGCUCUUCAGAAAGUUAAAGCAAAGUUCAAACCCAAGAAGACCAGAGACAGGUAAGAACUGAGUAUUCUUGUUUCUGUUUGAGUUUUUAGUCUUGAUACAACUUUACCAUAAUGAAACUGUGCUCAGAAAUUGAGAUUAGUCUUUCUUCUUCCUUUUUUUGGAGACAGGAUUUUGGAUUUUGAACGUGACAAGGUUGAUGUUAUCAGCUCUUUAUCUGAUCACAUCCUUUGCAGGAUCAUUUCCUUUCUUCCUUUUGAGUCUGUUGUCCAAAUUAGUGUACUUCCGACCCGAUGGAAAAACUUAUGGAAGAUGGCUUUAGUGAAAGAUGGGACAAACAAGGAAGCUGUCACUGCUGUUUUGAACUUUCUCAGUGAUUUUCCUCAACCAAGAGACAAAUGCGGGAUGCAAUAUAACUUUGAUCAAGGUAGUGUCCUCCUUGUUGCCAUUGCACCUACAGGUAUACUUCAUCUAGAUUUCUCUGCAGGGAAACAAGAAUCUCAAAGGCAAUUUAGCUUGUCCUUGGGGCGAAACCAGCGAAUUUACUACUACCACCAGCCAUCUCUUUCCACUGCGUUCAACUUGAAAGCUCUUUAUCUUGUAUCAGUUAGUCAUGUUUCUUCAGAGAUGGUUUCUUGUCUCUUGUCCAAUAUCCCAUCUCUUGAAAGUCUGACAAUAGCAAAAUGCAAUGGAUUACAAUCUAUACAACUUGAGAGUAAUUCAGAGCUUAAAAAAUUAACUGUCUUGGAUUGCUUGCAAUUGGAGUCUAUCAGGAUGCAUAUCAAUUUACAGUUCAGUUUAAAUUCCUUCCAAUGUCGAGGAAGAGUUGUGUCUUUUAAUAUCAGAAUGAUUGCAAUGAAAAUCCACUAUACUCCCCGUACCCUCCUGCAAAUUAUUAUUCACCUUUGGACCUGGAAGAUGCCAUGCUUGAUUUUAGACAAGGCCCUGGCUACUAUGGCAUCAAUGUACAUGGCUUU